AAACGAUGCAUUGCGACUAUUAAAUCAAUCGCCAAUUCCUUCAAAAAAAUUGAAUGAUUAUCAAUUUUUGAGUAAUAAAAUAAAUCAGACGUCUGACAGCUUGAAAAAAAUUUUGCUCUCAACUGCUGACGAAGGAUCAAUUGAUGAGGAUGGUGAAAAUUUUCGUUCAUUAAUUGAAAAGCUGCACGAUAAAUUCAAUGAUAAAGAAACAGAAAAGUCUUUAAAGAUACAAAUCUUAACCUUGUUACCUGAAAAAUGGGGUGAAAGACGUAUUUGUAAAACUAUGAAUACAUCAAGACAUUUAUCAAGAGUAGCAAAAAAGUUGGUUGAAGAAAAAGGUAUACUUUCAACACCUGAAACAAAAUUAGGGACGACAAUUACUGAUCAAAUAUUAUUGAAAAUUGCGAAUUUUUACAACGAUGAUGAGUAUAGUGCUUUGAUGCCCGGCAUGAAAGACUUUGUUUCAGUUCGAAAUGAUGAUGGUAAUCGGGUACACGUCCAAAAACGGCUUGUUCUGUCUAAUUUAAAGAACUUUACCAAUGUUUCCGUGAAAUAAACCCUGCAGAGAAAGUUGGAUUUUCGAAAUUUGCUUCGUUACGGCCGAAACAUUGUGUGUUAGCAGGAGCAAGUGGAACGCAUACUAUCUGUGUAUGUACUAUCCAUCAAAACUUUAAGUUGAUGAUGCUUGGUGCAAAUGUUCAUUCUUUAACGAGGAAUACAGAAAAGUCGUUGAAACACUAUAAUGAUUGCUUGGACAUGAUAAUAUGUGAGACUCCAACAGAAAAUGUUAUUUGGGUGGAUGUAACAAGUGUCCAGGGGUAGAUGAGUUGAGUAACAUUUUACUGACAUGUUUUGAGAAUCAGGAAAUCGAGAAUGUCACGUACAAGCGUUGGGUAUCAAAACCAAGGUGCAGUUUAGAAACUUUUAU